rnacentral:ncRNA from 1 species
CCGUAACUAUAACGGUUCAAAUUCGUUGUAGCUACCGUGAACGCAAGUUCAUUUAACGAAAGGGCCGUUGAAAAAUCUGGCUAUAUGCUGGAACCUCCGAGUAUCUGACACUACCCCGAUAGUAUCGGGGUGAAAAUGUGUUCAGUGCGGACAAUCAGCAGGGAAGUCCCGUUUUGCGGGAUCCCCCAGAGACUAUACGCCAGACUCCCCGCCAAAGGCGGGGAUGAUGAUAUAGUCCGAACUCCGACGCGAGUCGGAG